CCCAACGCUGAUCACCUGUUCUGAAACCGAAAACCCAGAGUUGCUUUUCAACCCUGAACUCUGAGUCAACCAACUCAGAGCGCAGGAUUAAACUCAGAGUAUGUUAAACCAGCUACCUGAAACAGGCCUCAGUUAGACGUUGUGUGCGAGUUUGAACAGGUCAGACUGACCGCAGCAGGUGAAGAGGCUGUACCAUCUACACCUCUGACUUCAGUUUCAACUCUGGAACCUGCCAUCUCCAGAAAUUCUCAGAUGACUCCUCCAUCGUGGGCUGCAUCAGUGAGGACAGGGAGGACGAGUACAGAGGUGUGGUGGAGGACUUCGUCAGAUGGUCUGAGGAGAACCACCUCCAACUCAACAUCGGCAAGACCAAGGAGAUGGUGGUGGACUUCCGCCGGAAGAGGAACCCCCCAACCUCUAUUACCAUCCAGGGGAUUGAAAUUGAGACGGUGGACUCGUAUAAGUUCCUUGGAGUACACAUCAUCAAUAAACUGGACUUGUCUGACAACAAAGAGACCCUCUACCGGAAGAGUCAGAGCAGACUCUUCCUCAGGAGGCUCAGGUCGUUUGACGUGUGUGGCAGGCUGCUAAGGACAUUUUAUCUGUCUGUGGCAGCACUCUGUUCUUCGCUGGGGCGUGCUGGGGAGGAAGCAUCAAGGCUGGGGAGUCAAACAGACUCAACAAGCUGGUUAGGAAAGCCAGCUCUAUUGUCGGACUUGAGCUGGACAGUGUGGAGGUGGUGGUGGAGAGGAGGAUGAGGGACAAAUUCAAGUCCAUCCUGUGGCAGAAGAGGAGCCCCUACAGCCACAGGUUCAUGUUCCCCAGGUGCAAGACGGAGCGCUUCAGGUGCUCCGUCUUGUGCUGGCAGCCAUUAGGCUGUUCAACAGUGCCUGAUGAUUGUUUGUGUGCGUCUAUGUGUUUGCAUAUGCAUGUGUGUGUGUUUAGGUAUACGUAUAUAUGUGUAUAUGGAUCACCCAUCAUGAUGUUGGUUCUGUUUGUCUUGUUUUUGUCACUAUUUCAACUAUAAGCGUCUACGUAUGCAAUAGCACUUCGUAUUUAUUGUAUUCAUUGCAUUGUCAUUUUAUUCUGUGUCCUUCCACUGCUGCUGGGCUGUUUUUGCAACGAACACAUUUCUCCUAAGGGGGAUUAAUAAAGUUGUGUCUUAUCUUAAGUAGCUGGUCUUUAACAGUAAACCAUACCAUUCCGCGUUCAAGUUCAAGUUUAUUGUCCCUAAAAGGGAAAUUGUUUUGUAGCCAGG
ensembl:lncRNA